rnacentral:tRNA from 1 species
AAUAAUCUAGUAUAAUAUAUUACAUAUAAUUUCCACUUAUAAGAUUUAAAUUUUUAAGAUUAUUA